UGUUUGAAAAUUAUCAAGGGCCAAAAACGUGCCACAUCAUUUAAAAUGUAAACACCACACUUAACCCCAGUUAAACAUUUAAACUACUUUAACUCAGGUUAAACACCUAAACUAGAGGCACUCAACCGGACAAACCACUGAAAAUAUUUCAGACUCUCUUUCAAACUCUCUCUCACCAAACACAUAUGAAAAUUUCAAACUCUCUUCUCCAAGGAUUUUCUCUUUGCAUCCCACGGUCCUCAGUGUCGCCGGUGCCACCAACCAUCGUGCCAAGCCACCGUUGUUGCGUGGGCUAUGUCUCACACCAACCAAGCAUCAGCAGAAAGUGCCGCCCACUUGCAGGCAUAGGCACUACCCAGCAUCACCGGACUGCUCCGCUAGAACAGUCACUGCCUAGAAUGGAAUGGGCAAGUUGUUUAACAUGAGGCAAGUCGAAGUGAUCAAGCUAAGAUUGAAAGUUGUGGACUUUGGAUGGAAUGUAUAGUCAAGAAGCAAGAGGUGGAAUGUGUAGUCAAGCAAUAGGCACAACAAUUGUAGAAAUUUCAUGUUAUUAUAAUCAUGUAAUUAAAGUGUAUAUUUCAAUGGAAUUCUUGUUAUGUGACCAAAGUGUACAUUUUAAUAAAAUUUGUUCAUUUUUUAUUA